rnacentral:rRNA from 1 species
AUUAAAUGGCCGCAGUAUUUUAACUGUGCAAAGGUAGCAUAAUCAUUAGUCUUUUAAUUGAAGGCUGGUAUGAAUGGUUGGACGAAGUAUUAACUGUUUCAUUAUAAUUUUUAUAGAAUUUUAUUUUUUAGUCAAAAAGCUAAAAUAAAGUUAAAAGACGAGAAGACCCUAUAAAUCUUUAUAUUUAAGUAUGUUAUAAUUAUAUAGAUUAUUUUUGUUAUUAUUUAUUUAAAUAUUUUGUUGGGGUGACAUUAAAAUUUAAAAAACUUUUAAUAUUUUAAAACAUUAAUUUAUGAAUAAUUGAUCCAUUAUUAGUGAUUAACAAUUUAAGUUACUUUAGGGAUAACAGCGUAAUUUUUUUGGAGAGUUCAUAUCGAUAAAAAAGAUUGCGACCUCGAUGUUGGAUUAAGAUAUAAUUUUGGGUGUAGCCGUUCAAAUUUUAAGUCUGUUCGACUUUUAAAUUCU